ensembl:lncRNA
GUUUUUUUUUUUUUUUUUUUUUUGCAAGUGUAACUGAUGUCAUUGCACUUUUAAAUUCAUAUCAAAGUAUCAAUAAGAACAGAAUAAAAACAGAGAGGAUCAUGAUUCCUGACCUUAUAUUAGUUUGGGAGGCAUAUUCCUCAACUCAAGGCUAUAUAUCAGAUACAGUUCAGACACACCUGAGUUGGGAUUUAGGUAACAGCAUCUAAUUUUUUUUUUUUUUUUAGCUAGUUUAUGAGUGAGUGCUAUAUUAGAGAAGCUGUUGUUACAAGAAAAACUCUCAAAACAAAACAAGACGGGCACAUUUCAUAUUUAUUUUUUAUGCAUCAUUCACCUUCUUUGAAUAAUUUUUUUUUUUUACCUGGAUAAAUAAAGGAUUAAUAAUAAAAAAUAUUAUUUGCUUUUUGUUUUAUUUCUGUUUAAGCGUACCAGUAAGAUAUCUGAUUGAAUGUGGGGAUGCAUCACUAAUGGAGACAUAAACAACAUUGCUGCUGUUUUCUUUGUUUGGGUUUAUUGGAAUAAGUUGUUGAUUGCAGAUGAGCUUUAUGCUUAUUGAUACAGAUCAAUAAACAAUUACUGGCCUCUUUGCCUGGUGAAGUUUCAUCAAGCUUCCCUCUGUGCCCACAGGGAGAUAGAGCCAUGAAAAGAGAGAGAGAGAGAUGUCUUUAUAGUUCGUUUGUUUGUUUUUUUCAAGCAUGAAAGAAUAAUGGAUGAUCCUCUUGUCUAAAAUCUCCUUCUAUAUAGUACAUGGGUUGAUUUGGUUAUUUGAAUAGUGCAUGAUAGUUAGUGAGAACACAUGACUUGAUAAAGCUUCUAUGUUUACCAUUGAAAUCAAAUUAGAGGACCAGGGCCUCUCUUUUGUUAAAAUACUACCUUUUUAGACACAUGUUUUACUUUCAAGUGUCACAUUUUCAACAAAU